UAAGUCAGACAGAGAAGGGCAAAUGCUAUAUGAUUUCACUUACAUGUGGAAUCUAAAAUAAAAAAAUGAACAAAACAGAAACAAACUCAUGGAGAAUAUUUUGAUGGUUGCCAGAUGGGAGAGGGACUAGGAGGGUGGGUGAAAAAAGAGACGAGAUUAAGAACAAAUUGGUAGUUACAAAACAGUCAUGGAGAUGUAAAGUACAGCAUAAGGAAUAUAGUCAACAAAAUUGUAAUAACUAUGUAUGGUGUCAGAUGAGCACUAGAUUUAUCAGAAUGAUCACAUCAUAAAUUGUAUAAAUGUUUAAUCACCAAGUUGCAUACCUGAAACUAAUAUAAUAUUGUAUGCUAACUGUAAUUGGAAAAUAAAAAAUAUUUAAAAAAACAAAAUGUGGACAGUUUUUAUAGUUUUGUUAAUACAUUCUUUUUAAAGAAAACCAUCAAGACAUUUUUCAUUUCUUUUAAAAGUGAUCAUGUCUCCCCUGGUAGUGUAAUAAUUCUGAAAUUACCAGAGCAUAAUUUAAAAAUAGUCAAAUCACAAUAAAAUUGCAAACAUCAAAUCCCCCAAACCACAACUACCAAUCACCUCAAAUUUGCACAUAUUGAUCAUUUUUACCCAAACCUAUUAUGAGUAAUGAUAACUGAACCAUCAAGUAAUACCUAUAUCUAGGAAAUCAGACUCUGACCAAUAAAAAUAGUCAAACGAACAAAUCCCAUCAUUUCUUCUGUUCUAUCAUAAAUGCUUAGAAAUCAUUAAGGCUCUCAAGGUACUUUUCCAAUUAGAACUCUCCCAACAGAUUUUGAAAAGUCAACCUGAAUGUCAAAAUCUGCAGUUUUCACAAGAAUAGCACUCUUCUCAGAAUACUAUCAUAAUAUCGCUUGCCUUGUAAGCGUUUCCUAUUAAGAUUGCCCUGGGUUUUGACAAAUCAAAGAGCCAGUUAAAAACAAAAACCAAAACGAUUUAAUUCUUCCAAACAACUUAACUCUCCAAAAAAAAAAGGGCCUCAAUAAAGAGCAAAAAAAAAACUGGUUAAAGGACAAUUUUUUAAAAACUGCAACCGGACUCAACCAAAAUUCUAAAAAUACUAUCUGCACACGUACAGACGAAGCGGUCAGUUAUUAUGGACACGCAAAGUUCCUUGUCAACAUCGGGAAAGCAGGGGAGGCCUGCCUUUGUAUCAAUGCAAAGAUGGGAAGGAGAACUGAAAAACAUUAAUUGCUGAACAAAAUAUUGCGAACUAAAUUGCCAAACUGCAAAACAGCAAGUUAUCCUUUGGGUUAGCCUUCCCCAGGAAGAAAAAUGAUUUUUUAAAUUAAAUUAUUCCAGUAACAUCAAAACGGGCCUAAGGGCCCGGCUGAGAAAAGAAAGGGAAAGUUUGGGGAUAGCAUCUAAGAACCAUGGUGGAAAUUCCUGUGCCCUGAUCCCGGAGAGGGGCAAAAGGGGGCGAGAGCGGCGUUUGCGGCCGCUGGCUGGCGGUGGGGAGUCGAGCUACCGCUGGAUCCCGGUGGGAGAGUGACAAGGAAGAGGAGGAGGUGGCCUAGGAGAGAAUGGAAGCUUCAGCGCCGGCCAGUUGUGACCGAAACUCUGUCCACUUGGAGUCGUGGAGAAGACAGAGGAGGAAAAUUAUGGGCAAUUUCCAGAGAAACAGAAGCUGUAGUUGGCCUCUCAAGGGCUUCCCCAGAACCACUUCUACAUCAACUGGAUCCCUACAACAAGCAUAUAUCAAAACAGUGAGCAAACUAAAAGCUUACAUAAAUGGCUCUGUCUUGAUGAUUAAACUGGCUCACUGAUGCGUGCCAAUGA